rnacentral:rRNA from 1 species
GACGAACGCUGGCGGCGUGCCUAAUACAUGCAAGUCGAACGCCGUGGGGACGGGUGAGUAAAACGUGGGUAACCUCCCAUCCGAGGGGAUAACACUUGGAAACAGGUGCUAAACCGAUACUGAUGGAUGGACCCGCGGUGCAUUAGCUAGUUGGUGAGGUACCGGCUCACCAAGGCCACGAUGCAUAGCCGACGUGGGAGGAGAAGCGGACAAAAUGGAGCUAGUACACGCCCCAGAUUCCGACGGGAUGCAGCAGGAGAGAAUCUACGGCAAUGGACGAAAGUCUGACCGAGCAACGACGCGUGAGGGAAGAAGGUUGUCGGAUCGUAAGUCUCUGUUGUGAGAGAAGCGGUAUUUAACCAGAAAGCCACGGCUAACUACGUGCCAGAGCCGCGGUAAUUC